rnacentral:rRNA from 1 species
GACGAACGCUGGCGGCGUGCCUAACACAUGCAAGUCGAACGAGGUCCAAGGAAGCUUGUUUCCUGACGACCUAGUGGCGAACGGGUGAGUAACACGUGAGAAACCUGCCUCGGAGUGGGGAAUAACUCGGGGAAACUCGAGCUAAUACCGCAUGUCUUCACAUGAUCGCAUGGUCGAGUGAAGAAAGAAUUUCGCUCUGAGAGGGUCUCGCGGCCUAUCAGCUUGUUGGUGGGGUAACGACCCACCAAGGCAACGACGGGUAGCUGGUUUGAGAGAACGAUCAGCCACACUGGGACUGAGACACGGCCCAGACUCCUACGGGAGGCAGCAGUGGGGAAUCUUGCGCAAUGGGCGAAAGCCUGACGCAGCAACGCCGCGUGCGGGAUGACGGCCUUCGUGGUUGUAAACCGCUUUCAGCAGGGACGAAAAUGACGGUACCUGCAGAAGAAGCCCCGGCUAACUACGUGCCAGCAGCCGCCGUAA